rnacentral:rRNA from 1 species
ACUCCUACGGGAGGCAGCAGUGGGGGAAUAUUGCACAAUGGGCGCAAGCCUGAUGCAGCCAUGCCGCGUGUAUGAAGAAGGCCUUCGGGUUGUAAAGUACUUUCAGCAGUGAGGAAGGUGGGUAUGUUAAUAGCAUACUCAUUUGACGUUAGCUGCAGAAGAAGCACCGGCUAACUCCGUGCCAGCAGCCGCGGUAAUACGGAGGGUGCGAGCGUUAAUCGGAAUUACUGGGCGUAAAGCGCAUGCAGGUGGUUUGUUAAGUCAGAUGUGAAAGCCCGGGGCUCAACCUCGGAAUUGCAUUUGAAACUGGCAAACUAGAGUACUGUAGAGGGGGGUAGAAUUUCAGGUGUAGCGGUGAAAUGCGUAGAGAUCUGAAGGAAUACCGGUGGCGAAGGCGGCCCCCUGGACAGAUACUGACACUCAGAUGCGAAAGCGUGGGGAGCAAACAGGAUUAGAUACCCUGAUAGGCUCU